UAUCGAAUGUAUCAUUCGAAUGUUUUUUUAUAUGACCGAAUAGUUUUCAAUUUAAAAACUGUUCGAAUACACCGAAUUUUUUCAGAACCAUCGAAUAUUCGAAUAAUUCAGAACUAUUGAAUAAUUCGAUUAUUCGAAUACUUCAGAACUAUCCAAUAUUUAAAAUACUAUCGAAUAAUUCGAUAGUCAUUAUUCGAUAGAGACCAUCACCUUUAAUAACCAACACAUUUAGAUAAUAAACAAAUAAUUAGCAUUGUCUUAUUCUGUUUAAUUGGUUACAUCUUUUUACAUGAAGGAAUAACUAGGAUUUGUAUAUCUGCACGUCGCUUCUUCCGCUAUAUACUGACUACCGACUGACUUAACUAGUGGCUGCUGCAGAAUUCCGAGCAGAGUGCAACUCGCUGAUUGCUUUUCCACUGCGAGCGUCUAAUGUUGUGAUGUUCAUGAUUUCGAUGCAGGGAUAACUACGAUUUGCAUAUCUCGUCUAUACUAUACUAACUACUAACUUGUGAUAACAAGUGGUUGUUGCAGAAUUCUGAGCAGAGUGCAGCUUGCUGUUUGCAUUAGCACUGCGUGCGUCUGAUGUUCAUGAUUUCGAUUCAAAAGAAAACAAGUAUUUUUUGAUAAUCUACAUUACGUUAAAUAUUCAGAAUUUCAUUUUGGGAAUAACCUACCUACAUUACCAUUUAGUGGUGUAAAAGUAUUUACCAUUCGAGGCUGCUGAUUAUAUGAUUAAUUUGCACUUGUAACCACAGAACGGACGUAUAAUGGAUUUUGAUCCUCAUUGUGCUGUACCAGGAUGUCUAACUAAUACUGAUGUAAAGGAGAAUGAGAAUAUCAGCUUGUUCCGACCAACGUCAAUAGAACAAUUAUAUGAUUGGAGUUUAUCAUUAGGUUGCCAGUUGACCGUAAACAGUUGUGUGGUGUGUCAACGACACUUCAGAAGUGAAGAUAUUAUUUAUGGAAGAGUAUUGGUAGAUGGUUCAAUUAUAAUAGUAAAAGCAUUAGACCGUUCUACUUUGCCAAUACCAAUGGAUGCUGCUGAGGAGUAGUAUUGUGCAAACAAACCCCCCUCCGCUGUCGCUUCAAACUGGAUAAACAUACAAAUAAAAAUAAAUACCAAUUAAUGAUACCUAAUCAGCUUUUAUUUUUAGAUUAAAUAUUUUUACUUAAAUUUUACUUAAAGUUUUUUACAUGCUUAUUUGAGUUUUUAUAAUGAUGUUUUUAAGGGCUUAUUUUAAUGAUGUUAAGGACUACAAUUCCCAAGCCCUGGUUAUAACUAUAAUACUAUUAACACUACUUUAUUACUUAUAUACAUUAGUCAAGAUUGGCAUAUCAAAUGAGAAGAUACGAUUUAACUUGCCGCUAUCAUAAUUUAAACACAUAUAUUUAUAUUUUAUUUUUUUUUUUUUUUUUUACUUUAAAUAUUACAUUUUUAUUUAUGUGAUCAACUUUAUUUUGAUAAUACAAAUAAAAUAAAUAUGUAGCAUAAUUACAUUUAAAUGACCUACAUUGCCCCCAGAUUUCACCUUUUUCA